rnacentral:siRNA from 1 species
GUAAGCGCCUCCCUCAGACCUA